rnacentral:tRNA from 1 species
GCGGAUGUGGUGAAACUGGGAUACACAAUAGACUCAAAAUCUAUUGAUCGCAAGAUCGUGAAGGUUCGAGUCCUUUCAUCCGCA